UUGUACAUGAAAAUGUCUCUUCCUCAUUCCUUUAGGAGCAGAAGUAUCCGUCGCAUGCUACAUUGAAAGUUCUCAGGGCUAGCAGUCUAAUAGGAGAAGUUGAUGUGUAUGUCUAGUGUCUAGUGUCUAGUGUAUGUCUCCUACAUAA
ensembl:snoRNA